rnacentral:rRNA from 1 species
UACGUAGGGAGCAAGCGUUGUCCGGAUUUACUGGGUGUAAAGGGUGCGUAGGCGGCUUAGUAAGUCAGAAGUGAAAUCCAUGGGCUUAACCCAUGAACUGCUUUUGAAACUGCUAAGCUUGAGUGGAGUAGAGGUAGGCGGAAUUCCCGGUGUAGCGGUGAAAUGCGUAGAGAUCGGGAGGAACACCAGUGGCGAAGGCGGCUGUCUGGUCUGCAACUGACGCUGAGGCUCGAAAGCAUGGGUAGCGAACAGG